GUUGAAGUUCAGGUAACACUGAAUGGAGGACCGAACCGACUUACGUUGAAAAGUGAGCGGAUGAACUGAGGGUAGCGGAGAAAUUCCAAUCGAACCUGGAGAUAGCUGGUUCUCUCCGAAAUAGCUUUAGGGCUAGCCUCAAGUGAUGAUUAUUGGAGGUAGAGCACUGUUUGGACGAGGGGCCCCUCUCGGGUUACCGAAUUCAGACAAACUCCGAAUGCCAAUUAAUUUAACUUGGGAGUCAGAACAUGGGUGAUAAGGUCCGUGUUCGAAAGGGAAACAGCCCAGACCACCAGCUAAGGUCCCAAAAUAUAUGUUAAGUGGAAAAGGAUGUGGCGUUGCCCAGACAACUAGGAUGUUGGCUUAGAAGCAGCCAUCAUUUAAAGAGUGCGUAAUAGCUCACUAGUCGAGUGACACUGCGCCGAAAAUGUACCGGGGCUAAACAUAUUACCGAAGCUGUGGAUUGUCCUUUGGACAAUGGUAGGAGAGCGUUCUAAGGGCGUUGAAGCAUGAUCGUAAGGACAUGUGGAGCGCUUAGAAGUGAGAAUGCCGGUGUGAGUAGCGAAAGACGGGUGAGAAUCCCGUCCACCGAUUGACUAAGGUUUCCAGAGGAAGGCUCGUCCGCUCUGGGUUAGUCGGGUCCUAAGCUGAGGCCGACAGGCGUAGGCGAUGGAUAACAGGUUGAUAUUCCUGUACCACCUAUA
rnacentral:rRNA from 1 species